AUUGUUUACUCUGAGUUUCGGCUAAGAGCGAAUAUAGCAUUUGUUCUUAGGAGUUUAAUGUCAGGUAUGGUUCUGAUAAGGAGACUUCAUAUUAAAGGGAUUUUUGGUGGGGGGUGUCGGACCCGGAGCUGGCUCCAUCCGCUCCGCGCAUCAUUCCGGUAUUGGAGCACUUCUGGGCUCGGUGCAUUCGUU
ensembl:snRNA U2 U2 spliceosomal RNA